rnacentral:rRNA from 1 species
UACGUAGGGUGCGAGCGCUAAUCGGAAUUACUGGGCGUAAAGCGCGCGUAGGCGGCCACUUAAGUCGGAUGUGAAAGCCCCUGGCUCAACUGGGGAAGUGCACCCGAAACUGAGCGGCUUGAAUGCAAAAGAGGGUCGCGGAAUUCCCGGUGUAGAGGUGAAAUUCGUAGAUAUCGGGAGGAACACCGGUGGCGAAGGCGGCGACCUGGGUUGACAUUGACGCUGAGGCGCGAAAGCGUGGGGAGCAAACAGG